GCCCCUUUGGCUGUCGCACUCGUAGUCUCGUCAUGCGAAGGUUCACGGUUCAAUCCCGUGAGGGGGCA